rnacentral:lncRNA from 1 species
GCCAGCUGCCAUGCCAUAAAGACAUUCAGGCAGCUGAUGGAGAUACUGACCUGAUGUUGAGCUAUGGCUUCCUACCAUUAACAAGCAUUAACCUGACAAGGAUGUGAGUGAGACACCUUGGAAGUCCAUCCUCCAGUCCCAGUCAAGUCUUUAGAUGACUACAGCCUCAGCUGAGAAUCUGAGCAUAAUAUCAUGAGAGUCUUGAAGCUAGAAAUACUCAGCCAAGCUGCUUCUGAAUUCCUAACUCACAAAAACUUAAAUAAUGCAUCAUUUUGUAAGAAGAUCCUAAAAUGUUAGAUAAGGACAACUGAUCAGGAAGUUGUGAGAUUAACUUCAAGAAUGCACUGCUGCAUAUGCUAAAAUCAAUCUUGCACAUAACACGUUGAAAAUAAACACUAAG